UUUUGUUCGAGGCUGAACGCGAACCCACCCAACUCCCUCUCACUUCAGGAAUUUUCAUGUCCAUCUUGCCCUCUCGUACCCAACUCCCCACUUCGUCUUCUUCCUCUGCUGAUCUCUCUAAAAAUCCCCAUCCUGCUAAUGGAAACGACCAUUUUCUAUCUCCUCCCUCCACCCCUCUCUCCCCUAACCACCGCCGCGAUAUCUCUUUCGGAUCGCUUCACAUCGCCAACCCUCCAUCUUCAACCUCCCUUUCAAUUGCCGCACAGAUUCCAGGUGAUUUCUUUCUUUCUCUCUCUAGGGUUUUCUUAUGUUUCUGAUUCUUCGCGAUAGAUUUGGUAACUUUGUCAUUAUUACUUUCUAAUGAGUGUAUCUUUAGUUUCUUUUUCUUUUUUUUUUUUUUUGCAAUUGUUUGUUCCAACUGUGUGUAACUUAGUCCAAGAUUUACGAAAUAAACUAGCAGAGCAAAGACAGGUGAAUUUGAAUAAAUUGCUAGUUCAUUUAUUUGAUGAAUCAUUAAACAUAUAUGAUUCUUGAUAAUCUUUGGUUCUUUUUGCAAGAUUUUGUGCUGGAAGCUUGAUUUCUUUUUUCCUUGAGUUGUACGGAUGGAGUUUGUUGUUAAGAGCAUUUUUCCUAUUGGGUUUUUUUAAUAGUAUUAGUGAAGAUAUUAUUUUUUUUCUGACUUUGUUGUACUUAGUCUUUGAUUGAGUGUGUUGUCCAUGCUGCAGGCCCGUUGGCUCCAGCUGCAGAAGGUUUCAGUCCAUCUUCCAAAGAGGUAAUAGUACUGAUAGUUAAAGGUAUAGUUUGUAUAAGGUUAUAGUAGAUGAGACUUAGUUUACAUAUAUAUAGAUAUAUAUAUAUUGUAUGGAAAAAAGGACUUACUAAAUUUUAAGAAACAAGAAGAAUCAUCAGAACCUUGUUGCUUCAUUUUGUUUUUCUAUGGUUGCUUAUGCUAAUUCUCAUUGUUUUCUGAACCUGGUAACAUACUUGGCUGUGUAUAUUCACUUUUAACCUUCCCAUAUUUCAUCGUAGGUGACUGAAUCGGGGACUCCAGANNNNN
rnacentral:lncRNA from 1 species